rnacentral:rRNA from 1 species
UACAGAGGGUGCGAGCGUUGUCCGGAAUCACUGGGCGUAAAGGGCGCGUAGGUGGCGCGACAAGUCAGUGGUGAAAGUUCGACGCUCAACGUCGAAUCGGCCACUGAUACUGUUGGGCUUGAGCACUGUAGGAGCUAAUGGAAUUCCGGGUGUAGCGGUGGAAUGCGUAGAGAUCCGGAAGAACACCGGUGGCGAAGGCGGUCUGCUGGGGUCGAACUGACGCUGAGGCGCGACAGCGUGGGGAGCAAACAGG